rnacentral:lncRNA from 1 species
UUAGUAUUAAUAGUACUAUUACUUCGUUUCUGUUUUGGUUUUUUGGUCAAGAAUUCCAACCUAUUGUUGAAACCAUUUUCUACAUUUGGAAUUGAGUUAUUGCAUGUAAAACUGAGCAAUCCUAGCUCCCAACCUCCAUUGUUGCCUUCCUCAUCAUCUCUAGUAUCUAUUGGCGGAUAAAACUCACUUACCAAAAUAGGCUUAUUCCCGCCAAAACAAAGCAUCUUGUUAUGUCAAAGUUGACUCACUCAAUGACAACACCUGUUAAUGCAUUGUGUUUUUAUAUUCUAGAUUUGCGGAAAAUCAAUAGUGAGUGAGGAUAGUCUCUCUCUCUCUCUCUCUUAUUCUAAAGAAUAGGAUAUAGUGAUUGCUGAUGAUGAUGCUGUAUUGAUGUUGACGAAGUGUUGUCAUCGCUACGGUUGAGAAUAAGAUUUGUAAUAUCCUUGAGUGGAUCCAAGAGCGGCUGCAUUCGUUUAGUGUUUUGUUCGUCGCUCGCAGAUAAAUCUUGAAUUAUAAUGUUGGAGAAAUUGAUUACGAAAGUGACUGCACAAAGCACAAUGGAAGAUUCAUCCUCUCCAAAUUUGAUGAACGACGCAUCAUCAUCAUCAUCAUCAUCACCAUCAUCACCAGCAAUUCCAAUUGAACCUGCACAUACAGCAUCUAGAAGUUCUCCUAAUAAUUGUAGUAGUAGUAGUAUCUAUAUAAUAGACAUUCAAGGAUUUAAAGACAAUAAUGGAGAACUAGUUGCUAAAGAACUUGUAUUUCUUCAGUCAAGUGAAGAUCGCGGAUGUCAAAGUGUAGUGACAAGGCAAUAUUUUUUUGAACAACCGUAUCCAAAUACCUGUUUGACAACGAGUACAAUGAAUGCCAACAAUAGUUUAGUGACAAAACACGGGCUGAGGUGGGGGGAGUGUGGUCUAAUGGGCCAACAGCAAUUACUACCCUACAGAUGUUUUAAACAUGUUAUUGUUGAUGCAAUUGAAGGGUGGUUGUUCAAUCCAACCAAAAGACAAGGAAAUAGAAUAGAAAUCUAUGUUUAUGGGUUUGACAUACUGAAUCUCCUUUACAAACAAUUAGAUGAUGGUGUACUUCACGAUUAUAUUCAAAUUAUUGAUAUUUCGUGUGAGUAUGCUUCUGAUUUUAGACCACCAAACCUUGAUGGACUGUUAAAGAAAUGUAGUAGCUCAAUUUCACAUGUCUAUUGUGAAGAACAUUAUUUACUUACAUUAAUGGAGGAAAUACGUCUAUGUAUACAAAAAUCUCUUGCACAACAGCAGAAUAGUGUUGGCGCCGAUAGACAUAACUAUAGAUGUUCAUUGCAGAUUGUCCAUGCUUUGCAUGGCUAUUUAAAAAAAUCAAUGCUAAAAUUGAGCAUGAUUGUGUAAUACCAAUUAAAUAAAUAAAUGUGAUUUGUGUGUGUUAACCAAAAUAUAUAUUAUUUUCCUCUCUCUCUCAGAAUCAAUGUUAAAAUUGACAAUGAUUAUGUAGUACCAAUUAAAUAAAAUGCUCAAUUGUGUGUGUGUGUGUUAACCAAAAUAUAUAUUAUUUUCCUCUCUCUCUCAGAAU